UUGAACGCUGGCGGCAUGCCUAACACAUGCAAGUCGAACGGCAGCACAGCAGUAGCAAUACUGUGGGUGGCGAGUGGCGGACGGGUGAGGAAUACGUCGGAAUCUGCCCAGUCGUGGGGGAUAACUAGCCGAAAGGUUAGCUAAUACCGCAUACGACCGAGAGGUGAAAGCGGGGGACCGCAAGGCCUCGCGCGAUUGGAUGAGCCGACGUCGGAUUAGCUAGUUGGCGGGGUAAAGGCCCACCAAGGCGACGAUCCGUAGCUGGUCUGAGAGGAUGAUCAGCCACACUGGAACUGAGACACGGUCCAGACUCCUACGGGAGGCAGCAGUGGGGAAUAUUGGAUAAUGGGCGCAAGCCUGAUCCAGCAAUGCCGCGUGUGUGAAGAAGGCCUUCGGGUUGUAAAGCACUUUUAUCAGGAACGAAAAGCGUUGGAUUAAUACUCUGACGUGCUGACGGUACCUGAGGAAUAAGCACCGGCUAACUUCGUG
rnacentral:rRNA from 1 species